UCGGCUGAGCUGACAUGCGUCGACCACUUGACUCGGGGUCAAGUGGUCGCAGGUUCAAAUCCUGUCAGCCCGA
rnacentral:tRNA from 8 species